GUUGACCAAUACAUGUUAAAUAUGUUAAAGUAUAAAUUAAAUACAAUAUAAGUAUAAAAUAUAUAUAUUGAACAAGCUGUUAAUCAAUGCCCUAAGAAAAAUUUUCAAAGCCAGAUGGAUUUACAUUUCAAUUCUACCUAACAUUUAGAGAACAAUUAAUUCCAAGACUAUGAAAACUCUUAGGAAAAACAGGGAAAGAAGGACUAGUACCAAAUACUUUUUAUGACACAGAUAUAGUACUGAUACCUAUACCAGGUAGGAUCAAAACAGAGAAAGAAAAUGUUAGACCAACUUCUCUAAUGAAUAUUAAUGCAAAAAUCUUAAGUAAAAUAUAGGCAAAAAUAUUAUAGCAGGUUAUUCCCCAGGAUAAUACACCAUGAUCAAGUCAAAUUUAUAUCAGAGAUGCAAGACCAGUUCAAUAUUAGGAAAACUGUUAGCAUAAUUGACUAUGUCAAUAACUAAACUAACAAAAAUCAUAUGACUACCUCAGUAGAUGCAUAAAAAUCACUUGACAAAUUCCAACACCCAUUCCUAUUAAAAAUAAUAGAGAGUUUAGGAAUAAAUGGAGUUUUUCUUAAAAUGAUCAAACUAUCUGCAAGCAUCAUAUGUAAUGAGGAUAAACUAGCACCAUUCUCAAUAAGAUUAGGGGUGAAAUAAGGUUGCCCACUGUGAGGGACGUAGAAGACCAUUACCCAAAAUGACUACUCAGAGAUUACUCAGUAGAAGGCAGAAAAGUUGUUUAUUGAAAAACCUCCAGAGGAUGAGCCAUCCCAUCGAGAGAUAAGAAGGAGAAAGCUCACAGUAGGAGGGCUAAAGAAGUAGUAAAGAUACAUAGCUUUUAUACAAGAAAUUACAUCACAAGUAAGAGAGCAUUGAGAAGGGGAGGGGGAGGCAUCUAAUUGGUUGUUGCUAUUUGGGGAGAUUGAAACAGAAAGUCAGGCCUUCAGGCUUAAUCAAGCAGACAGUGGUCUAGCUAAUAGACUAAAUAUCGAUAAAUGUCAAAUACCAAUAAAUGUCAUCAGCUCAGGUUAAGUAAAUAUGUUUCUAGCUGGCCAAGGCUCAAGUAAAUAUGAGCCUGCACAUAUUAUACAGGUCAUAGGGGAAACACAGAAAUAAUAAAAUACAGAAAAAGAAUUCAUACAUUCCUGUAAGUUCUUCACCUUAUCUCUCUCUAUUCCAUACAAUUCCCCCCUUCUAAUAUGUAAAUGAUUUUUAUCAUAUUUCUAUGAAGAACUUACACACUAUUCAAAAUCAGUUAAUAUAUCUAUACAUUGUUUAUCAAGUUCACAAUCAAGAUCAUCCCUCUCUAAUACAUUCCAGUCUUUUCUCUGAAGAAUCAUCAUUUUAAUAAUAUCUUCUGUAUGCAAUAUUUUGAUAGGGACCGUUGAACUAUUCUGGUUAUUAAUGUAAUUAUACAGGGUAGACAUAGUGGCAACAGGAUAAUAGCACUGAUUGCAAUAAGUUCAUACCAUAAAAAUUGCUUCCACCAAUUAUUUUAGAAACAUUAUCACAGAACAGAUUGGCAUUUGGCAAACAUAAAAAUACAAAGAUAAAUAAACAAAGAUGAGAAUCUAGGGAAACUGAGGCACAACAUUACAUACUCUCCUUCUGAAUAUUUGAAUUAUUGAAUUACCUCCCCUGGAUACCUGGGAGGUCUCAGCAUCAUAAUUUUGACCAACCCAAUGUGAGGCAAGUAAAUAAAAAUGAAACUAGAAAAUGCAAGGACUUAUGGCAAGGUUAAGUCUCUUCCUGACAACCCCAGAGUUAUGAGCAGUACAAAGUCCCUCAUCUCAGCCAAAGAAACCAGUUUGAGAUGAACAGUUCACUGUGUUAGGUGGUCUUCAGUCAUUUGUGCACUUAACUCAGCUUCUGGAGUAGCAAGGCUCAAGACAGUCAUGGUGCCCAUUCAGAGGGGCAUCUCACUCCAGGGGAGAAGGGUGAGGCUUGGAGUAGCUCCACCUGUCCCCACCCAGAGGAACAGACAGGGCUGCUACUAGAAUACAGAUUUCUGAGCAGAGCUAUCAGAGCAUGCACAGUUAGACCAUGAAGGCAGGCAAACCCCAAACUUUAGAGGCUUGAUCUCAAAACUGCAAUGUUAUUAAAAAUGCUGAGAUACCAAUUAAGAAACUGAGGUUACAGGGUUGGAGACUGCCAGUCCCAAGACGGGUGUCUUUAUCUUGGAGAUUUCCUAAAACAAAACAAAACAGUCCCAAAAGCUGAGUCUGCCAGGGCAAAUCCACAGAAUAAGAGGUUUCAAAGCUAAAGCAUAGUAAAAACAAAAAGGACUGCUUAAAGACUUCCCAUUCAAUCUGAAUUGAUGAGAUAGGGGGUGGGGCAGAAGUACCUAAGGCAAAGUGAACAGAAAACUAAGGGUUCCCACUAUUUUAGAUAUUUUGAGAAAAAUCCACCAGUUUCCCUAGUUCCCUAUCUCUUCCUCUCCUUUUUUUUUCCUCAUGGAAAGGAAUCAUCCAAAAAAAAAAAAAAAAAGUAAAUAGUCAAAUAACCAUCCACAUAUAAAUCCCAAAAGUGAAUUAAAGUUCUUAUACAUAACAGACUAGUACAGGAGGAGUUUCCUAAAAAAAAAUCAAAUCAAAUCAAAUCCCUCAAACAAUUACAUAUUCUGAAGUGAACAUAGACAUUAUAAACCUAUUAUAACUUCCUUAACAGCAACAGUUACCAAUUUUAACAAUUUCCAUCCCAAAUCUUAGACAUAUAGUCAUAUUUGCAUUUUUUCUAACUCUAGUAAUAGAAUUGUAAUUUUAACAAUAAUUCAUCAACCACUUUCCCACUUCCCUCAUAUCAGUCCAAAUCACAUCAGGAGCAUUGGCGAUGGUCUCCAUCUUAGCUGCUUCGGGCUGAGAAAUGGGCAAAGGCUCUCAAUCCAUGCGGGAGUGUGGGUAUGGUGUCAAUCUAAGCUUCAGAUGGGUUGAUCCAUGUCUCAGAAGAGGUUCAAUAAUCUGUAAUUUGACCAAAAUCUAGAACAACGAAAAAUUAAAUCUAAUAAGUUUAGAACAGUCUGGCAUUGCAACAAGUGGGGAGGCCAGUAUAGAUUGGCCAGCAGUUCCUAUGUGAAGGAAUAAGUUUGCUUCACAGGACAAGCAGACGGCUAUAGUCCCAAUAAAUAGCAGUUAGGUUUCACAGACCAUUGUUAAUUGUCCUCUUAUCAUUUAGAAACAUUUUUAAAACAAAACACAAGUAUCCAAUAAUAGACAUGAAGGCUAAAUACUUAUUUGCCUAAGUAUUUAAGAUAUAAUGAUUACAUAUAACCAAAUUGGAAACAUCAAGGUAUGACAUAUUUGAAUUGUAUUAAUAGUUCUUAUUAACUAUUGUUCUGAUCAUAGAAAUCAGUCACAGCAGGAAAAAAAUGCAAGAAUAUAAACUAUAACAUAAUAUAAACAGUUAAAACUCAAUCUUCAGCACAUCAGAGAGCGAAGCUUUAAAACUUCCAAAUAGCAUUAAUUAUAAGCCCAAAGAAUUUUAUCUCCAAAGUUUCAGAUAAAUCCCAAACACUUUUUUACCAUGACCUUAUAUCAGUAACAGUAAGAAAUUUAUCCCAGAAAAUUCACACAAUUCUUAUAUACCUAAGUAGAUGUUUCAUCUUGAAUAAAUUGAAUAUUAUACCAAUCAUUUUGCUUUUAAAAUACCCAAUACGCAGAAAAAUCCCAAACUACCUAUUGUUCACAACAAAAACAUUUUCAAAAGGUAGAAGGCAAAAACUAUUAUCCUUGGAGGUCCAUUUCAGAUAAUUGGCAUCAAUACAGUUAAUUAAAACUUUCUAUUUUCACAUAAAAAGAAUCUGAAAAGUUCUUAAAAACAUCAAUUAAACUUUUUGAAAUAACCCUUUCAAACUAUAGAUCACAUUUCUGAUCAUAUUCUUUAAUAUUCAUAACCAUUAUUUAUCAAAAGAAACAAAUAUCCAAUCAAUUAACAUCUUGUAAGAGCAGCUUGUCUUUUUAAAUAACCGUUUGUUUUCUUCAGCCAAAGGAACCAAGAGGCUGCGGCUUUCCACUGCUGUUCUGCUGCUCUCCCCCCCACAAAAACACAUCCAGUCUCACAGCCAUCUCACUGUGACUACCCUUUUCAACCAGUUCCUUCUUUUUCCCACUGAUUUCUUCUUGAAAUCAUUUGCUUCUACUAAGCAAUCCUUCUUAAAUCACCUUCAUUCUCUUGUCCCAUCUCUCUGUGUCUCUCUUCCCAAUGCUUAUUUGCUCAAACCUUCUUUGAAAUACUUCUGACUAAACGCUCUAUUUAAACUAUUAAUUGCUUUUGUAAAUCAAUCUCUUUUCCCUUGUCUUUAAAUCACCUUUUUUUUUAACUUUAAACUUCAAGAUUCACAAUUAAUUUUGAAUCAAAUUUCAUAAAACUCAUAAUAUAGUUUACAAAUUACCCAAUACUUUUAAAAAGCAACAUACCAUUUAAGUAGGGAGAUACAAACAUGAGCCCCCCCCUAAGGUAAGCUACUGGCAUUUUGUUUAAUAACUUAUAUUUCAAUUUGAAGUCCAACCAAAUAAUAAAAAAAAGAAAAGUUUUUCUCUUCAGUUGUGAAGGUCACAAUAUUCAAACAGUUCUUAAGAUUUUACACUCAGAAUAAAUCUAACAUGUGCAAAUAAAAUUAUUUCCCCCAAUUUCAAUUUUAUUUCAAUUUUAAAAUUAUAUUACCUCUUUAAAAUAUAGUAAAUUCCCAAAACUCCUAAUCAAAUAUUGCAGACAAACAAUUACCCAGUUUAGUCUUCUUAAACUUUUUGUUCUCUAAUUCCAUGAAGGCAAACUUACUAAUAAUGAUUUUUCUUUCUUCUCCUGGAAAAUUUUCUUUCUAGAAGUAUGCCUAGUUUUCCCACAAGUCCAACAGGUCAGAACACUCUGUGUUCAACUAUUUACCUCUUUUACUCUAUUUUUAUUCCUCCCUUCCAAUAUCUGCAGUUUCUUAUUUCCAAUCUUAAAUUUUCCAAUUUUAACACACACACCAAUAUAAAGUUAUUUUAAAAUUAACCAGUACUUUAGUUUGUAAAAUUUCCUAAAAUCUACCUAGAUAUUUCAUUCAAACGUCUUUUCUUUAGUAACCAGGAAAGAGUUAAGCACCAAUCCUUGAUUUACCUUGAGAAUUCUUUUCUCUGGCUGAGUCCUGAUAACAGACUCCUUGUUUACAAGAGUGAUAGCCACUGUUCUAUUUUCUCAAAACUUUCAAA
ensembl:lncRNA